AGAACGAACGCUGGCGGCAGGCCUAACACAUGCAAGUCGAACGCUCGUAGCAAUACGGGAGUGGCGCACGGGUGAGUAACGCGUGGGCACCUGCCCGGUGGUUUGGGAUAACCGUGGGAAACUGCGGCUAAUACCGGAUACGCCCCUAGGGGGAAAGAUUUAUCGCCAUCGGAUGGGCCCGCGUAGGAUUAGCUAGUUGGUGAGGUAACGGCUCACCAAGGCGACGAUCCUUAGCUGGUCUGAGAGGAUGAUCAGCCACACUGGGACUGAGACACGGCCCAGACUCCUACGGGAGGCAGCAGUGGGAAUAUUGGACAAUGGGGGCAACCCUGGAUCCAGCCAUGCCGCGUGAGUGAAGAAGGCCUUCGGUGUAAAGCGUCUUUUGGACGGGUACGAUUGAUGGACGGUACCCGCAAGAAUAAGCCCCGAUAACCGUUCGUGCCAGCAAGCCGAC
rnacentral:rRNA from 1 species